UUUACACAUGCAAGUCGAACGGCAGCACGGACUUCGGUCUGGUGGCGAGUGGCGGAACGGGUGAGUAAUAUAUCGGAACGUAUCCAAUAAUGGGGGGAUAACUAAUCGAAAGGUUGGCUAAUACCGCAUACGCCCUACGGGGGAAAGCAGGGGAUCUUCGGACCUUGCGUUAAUGGAGCGGCUGAUAUCUGAUUAGCUAGUUGGUGAGGUAAAGGCUCACCAAGGCGACGAUCAGUAGCUGGUCUGAGAGGACGACCAGCCACACUGGAACUGAGACACGGUCCAGACUCCCUACGGGGAGG
rnacentral:rRNA from 1 species